rnacentral:rRNA from 6 species
AUAUUCUCUCUUGAGUGGAUCCUGAGUACGACGGAGCACGUGAAAUUCCGUCGGAAUCUGGGAGGACCAUCUCCUAAGGCUAAAUACUCUCUAGUGACCGAUAGUGAACCAGUACCGUGAGGGAAAGGUGAAAAGUACCCCGGAAGGGGAGUGAAAGAGAACUUGAAACCGUGUGCUUACAAGUAGUCAGAGCCCGUUAAUGGGUGAUGGCGUGCCUUUUGUAGAAUGAACCGGCGAGUUACGAUCUGAUGCAAGGUUAAGCAGCAAAUGUGGAGCCGCAGCGAAAGCGAGUCUGAAUAGGGCGUUGAGUAUUUGGUCGUAGACCCGAAACCAGGUGAUCUACCCUUGGUCAGGUUGAAGUUCAGGUAACACUGAAUGGAGGACCGAACCGACUUACGUUGAAAAGUGAGCGGAUGAACUGAGGGUAGCGGAGAAAUUCCAAUCGAACUUGGAGAUAGCUGGUUCUCUCCGAAAUAGCUUUAGGGCUAGCCUCAAGUGAUGAUUAUUGGAGGUAGAGCACUGUUUGGACGAGGGGCCCCUCUCGGGUUACCGAAUUCAGACAAACUCCGAAUGCCAAUUAAUUUAACUUGGGAGUCAGAACAUGGGUGAUAAGGUCCGUGUUCGAAAGGGAAACAGCCCAGACCACCAGCUAAGGUCCCAAAAUAUAUGUUAAGUGGAAAAGGAUGUGGCGUUGCCCAGACAACUAGGAUGUUGGCUUAGAAGCAGCCAUCAUUUAAAGAGUGCGUAAUAGCUCACUAGUCGAGUGACACUGCGCCGAAAAUGUACCGGGGCUAAACAUAUUACCGAAGCUGUGGAUUGUCCUUUGGACAAUGGUAGGAGAGCGUUCUAAGGGCGUCGAAGCAUGAUCGCAAGGACAUGUGGAGCGCUUAGAAGUGAGAAUGCCGGUGUGAGUAGCGAAAGACGGGUGAGAAUCCCGUCCACCGAUUGACUAAGGUUUCCAGAGGAAGGCUCGUCCGCUCUGGGUUAGUCGGGUCCUAAGCUGAGGCCGACAGGCGUAGGCGAUGGAUAACAGGUUGAUAUUCCUGUACCACCUA